UUAAUUGAAACCAAAGUAGAGGUCUAUCACUGUUAAUGAUAACAAUGAAUCAAAUUCCAAUUAAA
rnacentral:tRNA from 1 species